rnacentral:sRNA from 1 species
GCUGGGUGCAUUGGUGCAUGCCUGUAAUCCCAAUGGCUUGGGAGGCUGAGGCAGGAGGAUUUCAAGUUCAAAGCCAGUUUCAGCAGUUUAGUGAGGCCCUCAGCAACUUAGUGAGACCCUGUCUCUA